AUGCAGGCGGUGCCUGCAACCACCCCCAGCAUCUUCCCGCUGACCCUCCCCGGAUAUGUAUUAAAAGACACUUCAGCGACCAUUGUCGCCGGCUGCCUGAUCCGGGGCUUCUUCCCCCUGGGCCCUCUGAGUGUGAGCUGGGAUGGCAACGAAGGCAGGGAGAACGUGACCUUCCCACCCGUCCAGUCUGCCCCCUCGAACCUGUACACCGCGUGCAGCGUGCUGAGCCUGCCAGCUGAGCAGUGUCCGGAAGGAAACAGUGUGGCCUGCCGCGUGGAGCACAACAACCAGAGAAAGGACCUGUCCGUGCCCUGCCCCCCAGGGUGCAAAGGGCAAACUACUACUCCUCCUACAACUACAACCACCAUCCCCUGCCCCUCCCCCUCCUGCGGGGAGCCCAACCUGUCCCUGCAGCGGCCAGACCUCGGGGACCUGCUCCUGAACUCGAACGCCAGCCUCACCUGCACCCUGAGAGGCCUGUUGAACCCCGGGGACGCCGUCUUCACCUGGGAGCCCACAAACGGGAACGAACCCGUCCAGCAAAGUCCCAAGCUUGACCACUGCGGCUGCUACAGUGUGUCCAGCGUGCUGCCCGGCUGUGCAGAGCCCUGGAAUGCGGGGAAGGUCUUCACCUGCACAGUCACCCACCCUGAGAUAGAGGGCGGCUCCCUGACAGCCACCAUCAGCAAAGACACAGGCACCACCAUCCCGCCCCAGGUCCACCUGCUGCCGCCGCCAACCGAGGAGCUGGCCCUCAACGCGCUGGUGACGCUGACCUGCCUGGUGCGGGGCUUCAGCCCCAAGGACGUGCUGGUGUCCUGGACACACAAUGGCACCCCGGUGGUCCCCAAAGACAGCUACCUGGUGUGGAAGCCCCUGCCCGAGCCCGGCCAGGAACCCACCACCUACGCCGUCACCAGCCUGCUGCGCGUGUUGGCCGAGGACUGGAACCAGGGGGACAGCUACUCCUGCGUGGUGGGCCAUGAGGGCCUGGCCGAGCACUUCACCCAGAAGACCAUCGACCGGCAGGCGGGUAAACCCACCCACGUCAACGUGUCUGUGGUCGUGGCAGACGUGGAAGGCGUGUGCUACUGA